rnacentral:rRNA from 1 species
UACGUAGGCAGCAAGCGUUGUUCGGAAUUACUGGGCGUAAAGAGUGUGUAGGCGGUGCUCCAAGUCUGGUGUGAAAUCUCCCGGCUUAACUGGGAGGGUGCAUUAGAAACUGGAAUGCUAGAGGAUGGGAGAGGUAAGCGGAAUUCCUGGUGUAGCGGUGAAAUGCGUAGAUAUCAGGAGGAACACCUGUGGUGUAGACAGCUUACUGGACCAUUACUGACGCUGAGUGAGCGAAAGCCAGGGGAGCAAACGGG